rnacentral:rRNA from 1 species
UACGAGGGGGGCGAGCGUUGUUCGGAAUUAUUGGGCGUAAAGGGUGCGUAGGCGGUUUGGUAAGUCUGAUGUGAAAUCUAUGGGCUCAACUCAUAGUCUGCAUCGGAAACUGCCGGGCUUGAGUGUGGGAGAGGUGAGUGGAAUUCCUGGUGUAGCGGUGAAGUGCGUAGAUAUCAGGAGGAACACCUGUGGCGAAAGCGGCUCACUGGACCAUAACUGACGCUGAUGCACGAAAGCUAGGGGAGCAAACAGG